GGCCGCCUGGCGAAAUGGUAUCGCGUCUGACUACGAAAACGGUUUCAUAUAUCAGGAGAUUGCAGGUUCGAGCCCUGCGGCGGUCA